rnacentral:lncRNA from 7 species
AAGGUAAGAUCUCCAUAAAGAGAGCAACACACAGCAAGGCAGUGGAGAAGUCUGCUCCAAAAUCAAGAGGUGCCUAUUGAACAGCAGCUUCUGAGAAGCCCUGGAGAUCCAUUGACCUUAGUCUGGGUGCCAGUGUGUCAUCCGCAGCCCAAGGAAACUGCAGAAGUCUGGAGAACCUGUGCACUUGAAGUCCCAUGAGGAAGAAGGAUGGGACAGCCUUUUGGGGAUGGGGCUCCUGCUCUUCAGUCAGGGCCCUGCAGCUGCUGGGAAGCACUCAGCUGCUCUCCUCCUGCUUCAUCACAGCAACAGGAAUGAAAACAAACAGGAAACAAGAAGAAACUUCAAGAGGUCACCUCUGGAUAUGUUGUAUGGAUAUGUUGUAAAGUUCCCAUGGGGCGAGACUGAAAACCCUUUGAAUGCCUUUCUAUUAGUGCCAGCAUGCUUCUCUGUCUUAUCCCCAUGCAAUAGCUGUUGUCUCACAUGCUAGUGACUUAGUGAUCCAUCCUUUGACUUAUUUCCAAGUUCUUCUUACUCAAUAUCCAAGGUGUAUGGGGCACAUUGUUCCCUGGUAGAAAGGUUGUGAUGACAAUUUGCCAAUGUUGUACUUGGCUAUCACUUUGAUAUACAAAUUCGAUUGAAGGCUUAGGUGGCCCAGUGCCAUUGGGAUGUCAGUUGCUCUCAACUGGGUAACAAGACGUUGUGAGGAGGAGAGGAGACAAAGAAGCUGUCCAAUAACACAUCAAAUAGGAGAAAAUACUGGACACUAAUGUAGACACUGAAUUUUUCACUCCUGCACAACACGUCCAGAGCUGCAGCAGGCUGGAGAGGUCCCAAUGGGACAGAGCCCUACUGGAGACAGGGCUUUGGAAGCUGCGUGUGUGUAGAGAGGCUGGGGAUGAGAUAGUACAGUGAUGGGCAGUAGCAUAAAACUUGUGCUUUAUGAUUUCAAGUGAGGAACAAAUUGUAACCAAGAAUAUUACAUAUCUGUUCAUGCUCUAAGGGGGCAAGUUCCUCUUAGGGGAAACAUAUUCCUCUUCUGCUGCUGUUAUUUUCUUUUCCAGCUUUGAGAGUGACUCCAACAAUCUCUUUCCUGUCAGCACAGCAUAUGUUUCCACUGCUCUCCAGUUAUCUGAACAGAAUACAAAAUGGAAGCUAUUUCCAGAAAGCACAGCUAAUAUUAAGACAUGCAGAAGUGCAAGGCAUGGGGAAAAGAUCAUCCCAGUAGUUAUUUGAUUCUCCUGAAUAUAGUGUGGCAGGCCAAGUAUUCAUUGGGUUCAGAUUGCUCCGAAUAAGCAGACAGAAUCUGAGCUGUUGUGUUAUACAAGGUUAAUCAUUAGCAUGUCUCAUAGCCUUUGUACAUCAGGGUUACACUUACAUUUGUUUGGUUCAGUGCCUGUGUCACACAGAUUGCCAGGGAGCCUGCACUGCCUUGUCCACCCAUUAGGGUCUCUCGCACUCAGGUUGCAGUUUUUGGCUAUCUGGAUGACAAAGAUCAUUUGCAUAAGUUUUCUUAACGAAGGACAGAGCACUGUGCCUCAGCGUGGGUAAGAUAUUGAUGUAGUGGUGCAAGUUUGGUGGAGGACACCAGGAGAGUCAGUUUUGGAACCUUCAUUCUUUGGGACACUGAAAGCUCAGCAGGUCCCUGAGCAACCUGAUGGAACGAUUCCAACUGCCCCUAGUGUUAACACAGGGCACCCACAGUGUCUGCUGCCAGCUCAGAGCACUGAGAACUCUGGGCUGAAUGGUGGAUGUUCUGUAGGAAAGCAGAGUUACAGGUUGGUUUCUGCACUAGAAAAUGAGACCUGAUGCUGCAGGGCCAGACAGUGAGCUGCAAGCAACUGUGAGAGGAAUGAUCUCUUGGGCUUGACAUUCUGUUAUCCUUAAAUAAGGCAUAAUUUAGUUCCUAAAUAUGAUCUCUUAUUACUUUAAUGUUAAAACCAGUAUGACUGUCAACUCUAACUGUAGCUGAGCAUAAGGGCAAUAAUAGGAAAAUGCAGGAGAAUAGUGAGAAAUUGUUUAAUUUCCAGCAAAACUCACGGGGGGGGGGGAGGGAUCUAUUUAUUUCAAGACUAUAAAAGUGAGAUGUUUUUUUGUUGUUCUUGUGGUGGUUUUGUUUUUAAACAAGAUUCCAGCAGAAGGGGAUAAAUGAAGACAAGUGGCUGACUCAGGCAUUCUGAAAUUAGCACCGAAGCUUUCUGUUGUAGCCCAUCAUUACUCUGUGGACUUGGGAAGCAAGUAAAAAAAAAAAAAAAUUGAAGUAUUAACUGAAGAUGCCAUUGUAACAAAGUGUUCUGUUAUAAGGGCUAAAAAACAGCUUAUUUUUAUUGGCCCUUGCAUGUUUUUAUUUUGCUACUCAUUUCUUGUUAUACAAGGCAUAGCUCUCCAGAGAGGGAGAAAAUAGACAUAUGGAGAACCUACCGACCUGUAUCUGCUGUUUAGACUUUGUACACGUGUUACUCUGCUACAUGGAUUUGUUAUACAGUAAUAAAUAAUAUAAUAAUAUC